GGUAAAAUGGCUGAUAAAGGUGAUAAAUUGUAAAUUUAUUUAUGAAAUUAAUUGUUUCUUUUACCA
rnacentral:tRNA from 1 species